rnacentral:lncRNA from 1 species
UUUUAUAACUCUCUUGGAGUGCAAGCCGUCGAGGACCUUGUUUUUCGGAGUACUUCUGGAUGAAAGAAUCGCAGUAAGGUAAGUUUCCCAGAGACUAGGAAAUACAAGACCUAUUCUCUCAGAGUGAUAUUGACUUGUCUGAUGAAGGCAAAAUUGUGAAAGAGCUGCACAGCAGCAGUGAAUGCUCAGAUAGCAGCAGUGAUAAUGAUGAGGAUGAUGAUGGAGAUAAUGAUACAUCGUAAGCAUGGAAGUUGAGGGCUCUCGAUUUUGAAAACGGGAGAGUAGGCCCAAUUUGAAAGGAGUAGAACACGUUCGGGUAGUUGAAGGUCAAAGGAGGAGAAAUAAAGCAGAUGUAUCGCACCACAUUGCAUCAAAGCAUACAGCAAGAAUAUGGGAUGUGUGUAUCUUGCGUACAGGUACAUGCCCUAAUACAAGAGAAAUAUGCACACAAAGAAGUGGACUAUCAGGGUACAUGGCCACUCUUUGGACCUAGCGGUGAUAAAUUCAAGAAUCGAAUACAGAAAUGACUACAAGCUCAUGGAUGUUGCAGCAAAAGACAUUCUCUACCAAUUCAAGUUUAAGAACAAAGUUGCGGGAACACCAACUCACACACACUUCAAGCAAAUGCAAGAAGCUAAAAAUGCAGUAGAGCUGGCUAUUGAAAUUGGCGACUGUCUUGGCAGUCCCUAAACCUAGCAAGCUGAUUUUAUUACCACUAAAUAAGCUUCCAUUUGACAUGCCGGGAGAUUUUCCAGAGCAUGUGUUCCUAAAGCUUCAGAUAAUACGCUGCAAUUAGGAUAGCAGUGAAAAAACCCGCUUUAUCGGCGCUAAAUGUAGGCGGUUUCUUGCCUUCUAAACAAAAAUGGCUUUCUUGAUUUUUACUCAGCUUAUGCCUGGUGUACAUAUAUGGGCACGUCGAAUAUUUCCUCUGCGAUUGCAGUUCUCCUUGCUCAUUCUUCCGAGAAGUGUAUCGUGACUUCAAAAUGCCCAAAAUAAAGAGUAUAUAUGAGUUCA